UUCUCCUCCUGCACAGAUUUAUCUGGUUUCUCUCUAAUGCAGCAGCUCCUCCUCCUGCAGGAGGUGUAUAAUGUGUGUGUGAGCGUCUCCUGGCGGCGUCCCGUCUCUGUAAAUGUCUCGACUACUUGACGGGCAGAUAGGAAUGUACUGGAUGUGUAAAUAUUAAAGGCACACUGUGUUUGUAGAGAUAUGAAUCUGACUGAGAUGAACCAUAUCUCCUCCUCCUCCUGCUCCUCCUCCUGCUCCUCCUCCUCCUCCUGCUUCUUCCUCUCCGCUCAGUACUGUGAACUACUACAUGUCUCAUCCUUGUGAAUAAUAAUGUAUUUAUUUAUUAUGGCUGGUCUUCAGAGAGUAGAUGAAAGAUUUGUCCUCUCAGGUUGUAGUGAUGAUGAUGAAGACUGAUGAUGAAGAGUCUGAACCUGUAGCAGAAACCUGACGCUCCACGCCACCAACAACACAAACAACACAACAACACAACAAACAAACAUCACAGUCUAGACUCUUUAGUCUGUUUACAACAAACACAAACAGAUUUAUUUUUAUUUUUCAAAGUGGAUAAACGGCGACACAGUCAAAAGUCAAAGAUUCUUCGUUUGAACUGCCAAGUUUUCAUCUGUUAACCCUUCGAGUGAAAUAAAAAGGCAUAGUUGAAUUAAA